UGGGGAAUAUUGGACAAUGGGCGCAAGCCUGAUACAGCCAUGCCGCGUGAGUGAUGAAGGCCCUAGGGUUGUAAAGCUCUUUCACCGGUGAAGAUAAUGACGGUAACCGGAGAAGAAGCCCCGGCUAACUUCGUGCCAGCAGCCGCGGUAAUACGAAGGGGGCUAGCGUUGUUCGGAUUUACUGGGCGUAAAGCGCACGUAGGCGGACUUUUAAGUCAGGGGUGAAAUCCCGGGGCUCAACCCCGGAACUGCCUUUGAUACUGGAAGUCUUGAGUAUGGUAGAGGUGAGUGGAAUUCCGAGUGUAGAGGUGAAAUUCGUAGAUAUUCGGAGGAACGCCAGUGGCGAAGGCGGCUCACUGGACCAUUACUGACGCUGAGGUGCGAAAGCGUGGGGAGCAAACAGG
rnacentral:rRNA from 1 species